rnacentral:lncRNA from 1 species
GUCUGUUGUUAUUUAUGUAUUAUUGUCAUUUUGUUUAUUUUCUUUGGUUACAUCUUCUGACAUCAGACUAGGACUUCUCUUGAACUGAAUUUUAAUGUGCGUAUUGUUAUGCGUUUACUUUUCUGCAUUGGCUAGAGGUAUAGGGGGAGGGUUGAGAUCUCACAAACAUGUUUAACCCCGCCGCAUUUUUGCGCCUGUCCCAAGUCAGGAGCCUCUGGCCUUUGUUAGUCUUGUAUUAUUUUAAUUUUAGUUUCUUGUGUACAAUUUGGAAAUUAGUAUGGCGUUCAUUAUAACUGAACUAGUAUAUAUUUGUUUAGGGGCCAGCUGAAGGACGCCUCCGGGUGCGGGAUUUUCUCGCUAUAUUGAAGACCUGUUGGUGACCUUCUGCUGUUGUUUUUUUUCUAUGGUCGGGUUGUUGUCUCUUUGACACAUUCCCC